AUGGUUGUCGUCAGCUCGUGUCGUGAGAUGUUGGGUUAAGUCCCGCAACGAGCGCAACCCUUAUUGCUAGUUACCAUCAUUGAGUUGGGGACGUCUAGCGAGACUGCCAGCGAUAAGCUGGAGGAAGGUGGGGGAUGACGUCAAAUCAUCAUGCCCCUUAUGACCUGGGCUACAAACGUGAUACAAUGGCUGGAACAAAGGGAGGCGAAGGGGUGACCUGGAGCGAAACCCAAAAAUACAGUCUCAGUUCGGAUUGAAGUCUGCAACUCGACUUCAUGAAGUCGGAAUCUGUAGUAAUCGUGUCUCAAAAUGGCACGGUGAAUAUGUCCCUGCUCCUU
rnacentral:rRNA from 1 species